GACGAACGCUGGCGGCGUGCCUAAUACAUGCAAGUAGAACGCUGAAGAGAGGAGCUUGCUCUUCUUGGAUGAGUUGCGAACGGGUGAGUAACGCGUAGGUAACCUGCCUUGUAGCGGGGGAUAACUAUUGGAAACGAUAGCUAAUACCGCAUAACAAUGGAUGACCCAUGUCAUUUAUUUGAAAGGGGCAAAUGCUCCACUACAAGAUGGACCUGCGUUGUAUUAGCUAGUAGGUGAGGUAACGGCUCACCUAGGCGACGAUACAUAGCCGACCUGAGAGGGUGAUCGGCCACACUGGGACUGAGACACGGCCCAGACUCCUACGGGAGGCAGCAGUAGGGAAUCUUCGGCAAUGGGGGCAACCCUGACCGAGCAACGCCGCAUGAGUGAAGAAGGUUUUCGGAUCGUAAAGCUCUGUUGUAAGUCAAGAACGAGUGUGAGAGUGGAAAGUUCACACUGUGACGGUAGCUUACCAGAAAGGGACGGCUAACUACGUG
rnacentral:rRNA from 1 species